rnacentral:lncRNA from 1 species
UCCAUAUUACAUAGUCCCAAAUUUACAAACGUAAAUCAAAUUAAGAUAUACCAGAUAUUACAUACCGCUUAAGACUAUUCGAUUCUAAAUUAUUGAAGGCCAACUAGGCUCAGUUCAAAGGACGAAUGCAUGGAGUGCUUAUCAUUUCAAUUUCCAAACAGGGUUACAUCAGAUCAGGUUCAUAUGUGUGUAUCUGGAAUUACAGCAAAGAAGAAGUACAUAUGAGCAGGUAAGCAAGAGACAAUAACAGCAACAAAUCCACCAAUAGAUUCAACAAUAAAUCCAAGCUCGACACCCAGGGACAGUUAAAGAGUUUUUGCUCAAAAUAAACCAAGGAUCUACACAGAUCUUAACAUAAAAUACUUCCAGAAUGAAUUCAAACGUGAUUGAUGUUAAUGGAAACAUCAAUUUUAGCAUUCCUUUGCCUUUUGUGUUUUUUUUUGUUUUUACCAGAUUUCCCGGAAUCAGACCUACUAUUGUGCUCUCUUAUUGGGAACUAACUCAGAAGGAUUUUUCUAGGGAUUUUUAGACUUCCGAAAAAACCUUGGGAAUUUUUUACAGAGAUUUUCAGCCUCCUCCGGGAUUUUUUUUUUUUUUGCCUCCUUAAUGAAGGCACUCACUUGCCUAUUUAUAACCCCCCAAACUAGGGCAACCCCUUUCUUUUGUGUUUUAUUCACUAGUCCCUUUCCUAUUUUCAAGAAUUGUUCAUUUAGUCCCUUAUUUUCUGGCUUGUGCCUCAAGUCUUAUCAGAAAAUUAGUUUUUGAACCUCCAACUAGAAGGUUCCAGGGGUCUGUUUCAAGAUUCCUAUACCCAACUACCCUAUUACCCUUUUCCUUUCCCCUCAAUUACUCAGCCUAACCAACUACACCCUUAUUCUUAUCAAGUUGGUCAAAAAUUGACUAUAGUUAAUUUACUCAAAGUGAUAAGCAUGAUUUUACCAUGACCCAACCCAGUCUGAUUAUCUCCCUAACUAAUCUGAGCCAAAAUGUAAGAAUAAACUGGACACUAGAUGUAAAGAGACUGAAGUUACAUCAAUUAUUUUAGCCAAGAUCAGAAGCACACAAAAUAAACAAAAUUGAAGACCUCAACACUGACUAAAUGCUGAAUAUGAAUCAUCUAAUCAAAACAUAAUCACAAAUCAAAAAUUAAUCCUAAAACAUGAUGAAACAAUC